rnacentral:lncRNA from 1 species
GCUGCCAUGGAGACACGGCCCAGCGGCCGCCGGCCCCGCCCUGGGAGCCCCGCAGUGCGUCGCGCCGCUGCCCGCAUCUCCGAGGCCCGCGACGAGCGGGGCCUCACGGGAGCUGGAUGCUCGGAGCAGCAAGGCGGCCCUGGGGGCCCCUUCCGGUCCCGGGGCUGACGCCUGGCGGCGUCUCCGGGAACCCGCGCCCUUUCAAGCGCCGCUGGCUCCUGUUUCACAGAUGGAGACCCUGAAGCCCCAACAAGCAGCCUCCCCAGCACCUCCCAGUGACUGAAAAAGCUGGCACUGGGCGCCCGUCUCACUCUCCACCCAGCUCCCAGGCUGCCCCACGGGACCAGCACCUUUGGGGAGAGACGAGACCUGAACAAACGCUGGGGCUGGAUCCCCAGGGUGGGUCAGAACAGCCGUUGCCCUGAAAGCUGGCCCGGACAGAUGCGUGCGGGGCGUGCCACCGGAGCUCCUUCCAGCUUGCGUCUGGGGCCACCAUGUCCCUUCCUCAGGGCACUGGAUCCAUCUCUUCAAGCUCAGUGGUCCAGGCCAUGGUGGCAGAAUCACCCCCCAGGGUGUGACGCCUCGUCCCUGUCAAUUCCACACAGCUGCACCCGGAAGAGCUGUGGCCGGGCGCCGCUCUGACCUGUGUGCGGUCCCCUGAAUGGGUCUCAGGUGUCUUCAGAAUGCUGUGCAAGUUCAUUCGCAAACGUCCUAGAAGUGGAACUGCUGGGUCAAAGUGCAUUCCCCAAAUGUCCUGCCAGAGGCCUGGUCGGCAGCAGCCUCCUGCACAGCCCGAGUCCCUUCUGCGAGAGUCCUGGCUUGUUUGCAGCCUGCAGCUGGGAGAUUUGAAGUCAGACUUCCAGGAUUGCCGCAUGGAGCUGCAGAGGGAGUGAGCAUGGGGCUGGAGGACCUGCCCCGCCGGCUGACACUCCCACAGCAAGGCGGGCCCGCCAAGGAAGCACUCCACAUCCGCUAGGUAGGGUUUGUCUGCAUCUUUUCAGUUCUUCAGUUUAAGUCCUGCCUGGGAAGAAAGCAAACUCCAGAGGCAAAUCUGGAAUGCCUGUGUGCCACCUUCUCACCGCACCACAGACUCCCCUGAGGACGGGUUGUGGCGGGGUUGGCCCCAAGCAUGGGAGGCAGCGCAGACAUGCAGAAUGGGGUCUGAGGUCACGUUGCAACGCUGGCAGGAUGUGUGCUCAAGGGCCAGUCUCUGCAGGGGUCAGGGCGUGUGGGCCACGCACAAGGAGCUGGCACUAAGCCGCUUAGGCUGCAGGAAGACACCAUCUGCCUGGGGCGGACAAGGCCCCAUGUCCGUCCUCAAGGAGGCUGGUCUGGAUGAGAAGGGUCACAGUCUGGCCAGGAGUGUCACCGUGCCCCCUGACCCCAUCUGGGGUCGGGCUGGACAGGUCCUCAGGCCUAGACGUGGGCCCAGCCAGAACCUUCUCCCCUGGCAUGUCUCUUCCAGGCCUAGUUCCAGAGCUGUCAUUCUUCGGCGAGCCGCGCUGCACGCCAGCCUCCAGUCUGGCAGUUAAACCUCACUAUGAAAAUCUGCUUUUGGGAUUUUAUUUGCAUUUCCAUUAGACUGAGCGCAUCACAAGCCACUUCAGGAUAGACUGAGGUGCAGAGGGAGGGGACAAGCGGCCAGGUUGACUAGAAGAGCACAGAACCUGGCUGUCUCGAAGAGGGCAGCUUGUUCCAGGGAACCAAUGAACUGUCAGUAAAGGGGAUUGUGGCUUCCUAGUGAGGCAAGAAAUGAUGCUCCCUUCAUCCUGCCAGGGCUCAGGACAAGAGCUACUUAAUGGUUUGAUUAUUAUUAUUUUUUAAGAGAUGUUGUCCAGGCUGGAGUGCAGUGAUGCAAUCAUGGCUUACUGCAGCCUCAAACUCCUGGCCUCAGGCCAUCCUCCUGCCUCAGCCUCCCAAAGUGCUGUGAUCACAGGCACGAGCCACUGCAUCCUGCCUUUAAAUGGUUUUUUGGGGCCCCUUUUGGAUGCUCUGGGUGUUUUUGCCAAGAGUUACAGGAUGUCAAGUGUGGGGAGCUCAGCACCCUUGCUGUGGACCAGUGAAGGCUGUUCCAGACCAGGUGCUUCCAGACAUUUCCAGGCUCCAGGAGAGAGGCUGGGAGCCCCCACAGAAAGCACAGGAAAAUGCAAAAAAAAAAAACAGUCUUUUUUUUUUUUUUUUUUU